rnacentral:ncRNA from 1 species
UCGCGUGCUCUGGGGUCGGUGAAACUCCGAACCGGCGGUGAUAGUCCGCGACCCGAGCGCCGCAUGGCGCCCGGUUGACCAGGUGGAACUCCUGGACCGACGGUCAAAGUCCGGAUGGGAAGCGCACGCAA